rnacentral:rRNA from 1 species
UACAGAGGGUGCAAGCGUUAAUCGGAGUUACUGGGCGUAAAGGGCGCGUAGGCGGUUAGAUAAGUGAGAUGUGAAAUACCUGGGCUUAACCUAGGGAGGUCAUCUCAGACUAUUUAGCUGGAGUACUGUAGAGGGUAGUGGAAUUUCCGGUGUAGCGGUGAAAUGCGUAGAGAUCGGGAGGAACACCCGUGGCGAAGGCGGCCAUCUGGACCAGCACUGACGCUGAGGCACGAAAGCGUGGGGAGCAAACAGG